AUUUCAACAAAGCACAGCGAACAGAGCUUAAAUGGGAAUAAAAUUUGCUAAUUUGGAAAUACUAAAUAUAUUGUCGUGGAGUCAAAGGAGAUGAGUACAGUUUCUUGCAGAAAUAUACUGCAUUUAUAUUCUCCUUCAAUAAUAGCAAUAAAAAGGAAAUGGAAUUAACAAACAGUAGGAGGCAUCUCCGACCCAAUAAUCUGUAUACAUGUGUUACCAUUAGUACUACCAUCCCCUAAUACCCAUACCCUAAGGCUUCCCGCAUAAAAAGAAGAAUCCUUUUCCAAAUGUCUUCACCGAUGAACUUUAAAAAUGUGUCUACGUUCCGCAGAAGCAGACUGAUUUGUUGGAUUUGAGCUGCUUUUAAUUCUUAUUGGAUUAAAAUGAAACGCGUCUGAAAAUGAGUUUAGUAGAGCAACCAAAUUUGUAAGCGGACUAAGAAAAUUGUGGUACACAAAAUAUUGUGGCUUAUAAGAGGAAAUAAGUCUCAGACGGACAUGGCAAGAUCGUCUCGGCUGUUGACGAUCAAGAAUAUAUAUAUUUUAUGUGGUCGAAGACGCCUCCAUCUGACUGUUGGGUAUAAAAAUAUCGAUAUCGAAUAACAAAAUCUUUUCAUAUCUUUUUAGUAGAAGUUCCAACUUUAGCCAAAGGAAAAAGAUGGUUUGUUACAAAAUUCUCGGGCCCACAAUACAAACACAAAAUGAUGUCAUUGACAAAAUGGCUGAAGCGUACAUCUACAACCAAUCAACGGUCGUAUAACACAAUGCUGACCGCUCGUGUUUGGGACAUAUUUUGCUGCGAGAGAUAGAUUUGUAGCAAGAACCGUUGCCAGUACUUUUCCACUGCAUGCUUAACUUUACUUGUAGUUUAUAGUUUUUUGAGUUGUUAGCUUUAUAUUAUAUGUACUCUCCGGCCCUUUGCCGCAAAAAAUAUUAUAAGUCUGAUCAUUAUUUCUGUCAGAAGGCAAGCACAUUGGAAGAGUGAAAUUUUCCCAGCAUAGUCUUCAUAGACUCCAACAACUUACCCCGGCAACGUGGAUCUGGCGAGACACUGGAGGAUAGUAUCUACCAACUCACCCCAGCAACCAGUAAUUGGCGAAAUAUAACUUAUGUAUAUAUAUAUAUAUAUAUAUAUAUACAUAACUUUUUAUUUUUUUUCAUUGGACACAGUGUUAUAGCUCACGCAUUAAUUAUCAAUUGUUUUAUUGAAUAUAAAGACCACAUUUUAAUGAAUCA